rnacentral:tRNA from 1 species
CCUGGGGUGACGAAGCUGGUAGACGUGGCGGUCUGAGAGGCCGCUGUCGAAAGACGGGCGGGUUCGAAUCCCGCUCCCAGGACCA